CCAGAGGGUCGGGCGGCCGCCGCUUGUCGUAAGACGAGGGGAGGAAAGUCCGGGCUCCGCAGAGUGACGGUGCCGGGUAACGCCCGGCGGGGGUGACCCCAGGGAAAGUGCCACAGAAAGGAUACCGCCCGGCGGUUCCGGUUCGCCGGAAUCCGGGUAAGGGAGAAAGGGUGCGGCAAGAGCGCACCGCGCGCCUGGCAACAGGGGCGGCACGGCAAACCCCACCGGGAGCAAGACCGAAUAGGGACGGCACAUGGAUCGGCUCGAUCCGGUCGUCCGGGUUGGUUGCUGGAGGCGGCGCGCAAGCGUCGUCCUAGAGGAAUGGUCGCACAGUCCCGCAAGGGAUGGACAAAACCCGGCUUAUAGACCCUCUGGCAUU
rnacentral:RNase_P_RNA from 1 species